GGAAACCUAGUUUAUAAAGAAUUUUUAAUUUGCACUUAAAUGGAAGGAUCUCCUGGUUUUCA
rnacentral:tRNA from 1 species